GCAUGUCUAAGUACACAGUUUUAUACACUGAAACCGCGGAUGGCUCAUUAUAACAGCUAUGAUUUGAGAGAUAUAAUCUAUUUGCCAUAAGAUAACUGUGGUAAUUCUAGAGCUAAUAUUUUAAAGAAUGCCGUGACUCACGAAGCGGUGGAUUUAUUAGAUCAAAACUAACCUGUCGCAAGAUAGAAUUUUGAUGACUCUGGAUAACUUAACUGAUCGUACAACUUUUGUUGACGACGAAUCUCUUGAAAUGGCUGACCUAUCAACUUUCGAUGGUAAGAUCAAAGCUUACCAUGGUUGUAACGGGUAACGGGGAAUCAGUGUUCGAUUCCGGAGAGGGAGCCUGAGAAACGGCUACCACAUCCACGGAAGGCAGCAGGCGCGAAAAUUACCCAAUACCGGUUCGGUGAGGUAGUGACAAUAAAUAACAAUAUGGGCCCUAGUGGUUUCAUAAUUGCAAUGAGAAUAUUUUAAAUACUUUAUCAAGUAUCAAUUGGAGGGCAAGUCUGGUGCCAGCAGCCGCGGUAAUUCCAGCUCCAAAAGCGUAUAUUAAAUUUGUUGCAGUUAAAAAGCUCGUAGUUGGAAUUGAGGAUUUAUUCAUUUUGCAGUCGCAAGAUUGUGUUUUGAAUAUUCCUUCCCGUCGUGUAUAUUAAUUAAUCWCUUUAUUGGGAUUUGUUUAAUGACCGACAUGUUUACUUUGAAAAAAUUAGAGUGCUUAAAGCAGGCUUUUGCUUGUAUACUGUUGCAUGGAAUAAUGAAAUAAGACUUCGGUUUUAUUUUGUUGGUUUUCGAAACUGAAGUAAUGAUUAAAAGAGACUGCCCGGGGGCAUAUGUAUGCUGGUGCU
rnacentral:rRNA from 1 species